CUGCCCUCAAGCACGGCUUGUGUGUUGGGUGCGGUCCCCCCGGGGACCUGCCCGAAAGGCAGCGGCGACGUCCGUCUGGUCCUCGAGCGUAUGGGGCUUUGUCACUCGCUCGGGAAGGACUGGCGGGGGUUGGUCACCACCAAAUUUUUACCAC
rnacentral:misc_RNA from 1 species